AUUGAACGCUGGCGGCAGACCUAACACAUGCAAGUCGAGCGAGCGGCGGACGGGUGAGUACUGUAUGGGGACUGCCCGUUAGAGGGGGAUAACUACUGGAAACGGUUGCUAAUCCCGCAUACUCUCCGAUAACGCAUAGGGGAUUAGCUAGUAGGUGAGGUAAUGGCUCACCUAGGCGACGAUCCCUAGCUGGUCUGAGAGGAUGAUCAGCAACACUGGGACUGAGACACGGCCCAGACUCCGACGGAGGCAGCAGGGGGGAAUAUUGCACAAUGGGCGCAAGCCUGAUGCAGCCAUGCCGCGUGUAUGAAGAAGGCCCUAGGGUUGUAAAGUACUUUCAGUCGGGAGGCGUUACCGACAGAAGAAGCACCGGCUAACUCCGUGCCAGCCGCCGCGGUAAUUC
rnacentral:rRNA from 1 species